rnacentral:rRNA from 1 species
UACGUAGGGUGCAAGCGUUGUCCGGAAUUAUUGGGCGUAAAAGAGCUCGUAGGCGGUCUGUUACGUCUGCUGUGAAAACCCAGGGCUUAACCCUGGGCUUGCAGUGGAUACGGGCAGACUAGAGGCAGGUAGGGGAGAAUGGAAUUCCCGGUGUAGCGGUGAAAUGCGCAGAUAUCGGGAGGAACACCGGUGGCGAAGGCGGCUUACUGGUCCGGUUCUGACGCUGAGGAGCGAAAGCGUGGGGAGCGAACAGG